CUCAUUUGAAUUGUUUUUCAUUAGUAAUUGAAGGGCCUUUUACAGCUCACUAUGCAAUAACCGCUUUUGAUCUGUAGCUGUUAACUUCUGUGUCUUUUGGUCUAUUGCGGAGAGUUGCCUCAUUAACAAUCAAUUAUCAUACCACAUCUUCCUUUUAUAUUGAAACACAAAUAUUGACACAUAAAAACCUUUCAGAUAGAAAGUCAGAAUGAGACUUAUGGAUAAAAACUUAGCAGACUGUCAGCUCACACUUUUCAUAUGUUGUCACAAAUAUGGUGUAUUAAGCA
rnacentral:lncRNA from 1 species